rnacentral:rRNA from 1 species
CAACAGUGUAUGCUAAAGUUGUUGCGGUUGAAAAGCUCGUAGUUGGAUUUUGGGCGGGCGCAACCGGUCCGUCGCAGGGCGUGUCACUGGUUGCGUUCGCCUCACCUUCGGUUCUCCGUCGGUGCUCUUGACUAAGUGUCGGCGGUGGCCGAUAAGUUUACUUUGAAAAAUUAGAGUGUUUCAAGCAGGCACACGCCUUGAAUACAUUAGCAUGGAAUAAUAAGAUAGGACCUCGGUUCUAUUUUGUUGGUUUCUUAGAGCUGAGGUAAUGAUUAAUAGGGAUAGUUGGGGGCGAUUCGUAUUUAACUUGUCAGAGGUGGAAAUUCUUUGGAUUUGUUUAAAGUAACGGACGUACUGCGAAAGACAUUUGUCCAAGGAUGUUUUCUA